AUUAGGGGUGUCAAGGACAGAACACGAGUUGGCUCAUUAAAAUAUCGAGUCGAAAAAUUCAGCUUGUAUUCGAUUUGUUUAUUAACGAGCCAAACACGAGUUAACUUACGGACAAUAAGUUAAAAAAAUUAAAAAUAUAAAUAUAGGAAGAAAAUUAAUUUUUUGAUUUUGGUAUAAUUGUUAAAACUUUAUAUGUAAAGGAGCCUUUUAUAAUUGAGUUGGGUUUUAUAUUUAAAUUGAGCUAAUAAUUAAAUAAUAAAAAUUUGUAUAAUAUAUAUAUAAUUAUUUAGUUAUAUAUAUAAGUAUAAAUUAUAUAAAUAUAAAAUAUAUGUAUUCGAGUUGUGCUGAAAAAUUCGGUUUGUGUUUGCCUCGUUUACUAAAUGAGGAAUUUGAUCACCAGCUCAUUUCGAGCUGAAUACGACCUCAAACAACGAACUAGAUUACCACCCCUUAAUGUUAUAUAUAUAAUAAUAUAUAUAGUUGGGGACUUGUUUUGUAUCUUUCUACAAACAUUUAUAAUUUCUUAGUUAUUAUACAUAAAACAUUUGCAAAUUUGGGAGAGUAUUUUGAAAGCAGCUCACAUUAGAGAUGUCAACGGGUCGGAUUCGGAACGGAUUUUUAAAAACCCGAACCCAAAACCCGACUCCAAACCUGAGACCCAAACCUGAGACCCAAACCUAAAUCCGAACCCGACGGAUUUUAAAAAUCCAUAUCCAAACCCGAACCAGACCAAAAAUCCAAAACUCGAACCCAAAAAUUUGAACCCGAAACAAUUAUUUCUUUUUUCAAUAUUUCAAAAUAUAUUAUAUUAAAUCUAAAAUUUUAAAAUACAAAUUCAAAUAUAACAUCAAAUAUCAAAUAUAUAUAUAUAUAUAGAGAGAGAGAGAGAGAGAGAGAGAGAGAGAGAGAGAGGGUGCUGCUAGGAUGCUUAUGGAAGCACGAAGGGCUCCGCUUCCACUUUGUUUUCGAUGUUCGGACUUUCGAAUCGAUGAUCGGCUCCAUUAGACUUGAUCUAGAGUAUUUGAAGUAUCUAGAAAAUAAAUUUUGCGAUUUUUCGAUAUCAUUUGCCUAGUAAUCGAAGUGGCUCAAAAUUAACGGCUGAAAAUAAAAAUCUUACAAAAUAUGAUGAUAUGACAUUAAAAUUUUAGAUCAAAGUUAUUGAUCUUGUUUUAUAUGGUAUAAAGAAUUUUCUA
rnacentral:lncRNA from 1 species